UACGUAGGGUGCGAGCGUUGUCCGGAAUUAUUGGGCGUAAAGAGCUCGUAGGCGGUGUGUCACGUCGGCCGUGAAAACCUGCAGCUUAACUGUGGGCGUGCGGUCGAUACGGGCAUCACUGGAGUUCGGCAGGGGAGACUGGAAUUCCUGGUGUAGCGGUGAAAUGCGCAGAUAUUGGGAGGAACACCAGUGGCGAAGGCGGCUCGCUGGACCGGAACUGACGCUGAGGCGCGAAAGCGUGGGAGCAAACAGG
rnacentral:rRNA from 1 species